CGCCCCCUGCAGUGUUCGAUAGCGACCUGGAUACCUUUCGACCCUAAAUCAUAACCUCGGGGUCGCGCACUGUCGGCAGCAUUUGAGCAGGGCCGUAAUCUCGCCGAGCGAGACUGCGGAAAGCCUGUUGCUGCCACGGCUGACCCCACCUGUUGCUCUGGUUCGAGAGCGACGGCUCGCACCGGCACAGGCGGGGGGCGC
rnacentral:other from 1 species